rnacentral:rRNA from 1 species
UACGUAGGGAGCAAGCGUUGUUCGGAUUUACUGGGCGUAAAGGGCGCGUAGGCGGCGUGUUAAGUCAGCUGUGAAAUCUCCAAGCUCAACUUGGAACGGCCAGCUGAUACUGAUGUGCUAGAGUGCAGAGGGGGCAAUCGGAAUUCUUGGUGUAGCGGUGAAAUGCGUAGAUAUCAAGAGGAACACCUGAGGUGAAGACGGGUUGCUGGGCUGACACUGACGCUGAGGCGCGAAAGCCAGGGGAGCAAACGGG